AUUGAACGCUGGCGGCAGGCUUAACACAUGCAAGUCGAGCGAGCGGCGGACGGGUGAGUAAUGUCUGGGAAACUGCCUGAUGGAGUGGGAUCACUACUGGAAACGGUAGCUAAUACCGCAUACCAUCAGAUGAACCCAUCUGGGAUUAGCUAGUAGGUGGGGUAACGGCUCACCUAGGCGACGAUCCCUAGCUGGUCUGAGAGGAUGACCAGCCACACUGGAACUGGGACACGGUCCAGACUCCUACGGGAGGCAGCAGUGGGGAAUAUUGCACAAUGGGCGAAAGCCUGAUGCAGCCAUGCCGCGUGUGUGAAGAAGGCCUUCGGGUUGUAAAGCACUUUCAGCGAGGAGGCGUUACUCGCAGAAGAAGCACCGGCUAACUCCGUGCCAGCCGCCGCGGUAAUAC
rnacentral:rRNA from 1 species